rnacentral:rRNA from 1 species
UACGUAGGGGGCAAGCGUUGUCCGGAAUCAUUGGGCGUAAAGAGCGUGUAGGCGGCCAGGUAGGUCUGCUGUGAAAACUCGAGGCUCAACCUCGAGACGUCGGCGGAAACCAUCUGGCUAGAGUCCGGAAGAGGAGAGUGGAAUUCCUGGUGUAGCGGUGAAAUGCGCAGAUAUCAGGAGGAACACCGGUGGCGAAGGCGGAUCUCUGGGCCAUUACUGACGCUGAGGAGCGAAAGCGUGGGGAGCGAACAGG